CAAAAGCAGCUACACAAGACAACCACAACAAAAUACCACCCUACAAUUUGGCCCACCUAAUUAGAUCUAGCCGUCAAUACAAGAAUUAACCGCCCCUGUGUACCUUUAGCAAUUUGCAGAAGCGGACGAAAACUCUGCCAUCGUCCCCGUCCCCACGUUUAGCUGCGAAAAUUGUUAUAUGGCCAAUGAAAAAUCAGCACAAUAGAUCCCAUGCCACGACCUCGCAGUCGCCGACGUGCUGCGCUACCACGUCCUCCUGGAGUACAUCUCCCCGUCCGACCACGCCCGCAUCCCGGCGUGAGGGAUGCUCCCGCCGCGGGCAGAGGCGGCAGCUCCGCUGUCGUGGUCCGCUCGCCGCUCCUUGCCCCCCUCCUCCCCGCCCCCGCGCGCCCCGAUCUGGCGACGAGAAGAUGUGAAGGCGGAAGAGAGAUCAAGGCCAACCUCCAACCCCUUAGAGUAAGAUCUGCCGCCGCGACCUGAUGUUUGGCGCUUCCCACUCCGUCACCCCGGGAGUCGUCGCGUGAACAAUCUCCGAGCACCUAGCCACUUGAGGCUGAAACAACGUGGAUGGAGACCGGCGAGAGGUAGAGGAGGAGGUCGGAGGGUGGGUCAACCUGUUGUAUUGACCGGACGCGCCCGUCGGUGCGGCGGAGCUCUUCCGUUGAUUCAGCGAAGGGAGGUGGGCAAGCGGCACAUUGAAUCCCGUCCUGACAUCCAUCAGCACUGGCCAAUACGACCGGCCAGCCGCAUCAUCGGUCCUGUAGUGAUUUGUCAAUGGCGUACUACCGAAGUGCUUCUAGCGAUAGCAACAUGCACGUACAAGUGCUUUGAAGCAGGCAUAUCGAUGGAUUUUUGGGAGGAAGAAGCUAGCAAGAUAAACUUUCGGCCUUAGCUCACAUGUAUAUUCUGAGAAUUUUCUUCUCCGUUGAACAAUUUAUGUCCUUCUGCAGAUGGCUAAUCAUCGGAACUAUGAGAAAGUAGGCCAUUGUUUACAAACUCAAGGAUUCAGUGAUGUUGAAGCUAAAAGCUGGACUUCACUGCCCUCUGCUCCUCAAUUCAGCCGCCGUUGCCCGCUGCUCCUCAAUUCAGCCGCUGCUGCCGCCACGUUGAGGCCCUCGCCACUAAGCCGGUGAACUUGGAUCAGGUGUGAACUUUGAUCAUGUUUUUCUUUACCUUAACAUCAAGCCGUCGGCUGGGUUUAGGAAGGUAGCUCACGGGACAAACAUUGGUGGCUCACACUCAAUUAUUAAGAGCACCAUAAUUGGAAAAUAUGCACUUGCUAAAACAAAAUUAAUAAUGACAAAAACUAUGAACAUCAGUCAAAGUUCAUGGUCAGAUUCCUCAUCACAGAUUUGGGUCAAAAGUCAAAAAUGCAAGGGAGUAACAACAAAAAAACACGACUUCAAUUGUGCUCCUGUUGGUUAAUAUACCGAGUAAAAAUAAAUAGAACAACCUAUAAUAUAGAGCUUAUGUGCUUUGCACGAAACUGAAUGCAUGGCACUGAACAUAUCUCUAAUCUAUUAUAUGUUAUAUAAGAAAGCACAUAAUUGGGAGGACUGAAAUCCAGCUUGGUUAAACGAAAUAAAUUGGCAACAUAAUUUGGGAGGUGCCUAUCUUUUGUAGCAACGAAGUAAGAUAGUCGACAAGUUCUGGAUCAACAAGACCCUGAGCAUGUCUUGACCCCUAAAUGGAUUACUGCAAGCCUUACUCAAAUGAUAAUAAUAAAAGGUAGACUCGGCUCCUCCACUCAUGCUUCUCUGAAUACAAUGUAAAUUUCAGAACAUGGCUCUCUGAAUUUCUACAACCUAAAUUUAGUACAUGCUUCUUUGAAUGUUGGCCAGCCAAUCGGUACUGUAUUGCAGACUUCAGAGAAUUGUAUGCAUGCCCUUUAUGCCAAUGGAUUACUGCAUUUUUAUGUUAGGUUUUACACUAUUUGAAUGUAAGGACUAUAUAGUAUCUCUUUGGCAAUCUAUGGCAAGUCAUUUUCUGCACAUAAAAUUCAGUGCAUGCUUCUCUGAAUAUCUGCAAUACAAGUGAGCAAAAUUCGUUCUUACAUGUUGUCCUGCCAAUUGGUAUUGGCAGCCUUGCAUACAUGUUUUUAAAAUGCUUAAUCCAAGUGCCACUUCUGUACUAAAUAAGCUGAACUUUAUUUUAUAAAUAACUAAAUGUUGGUUUGCUGACGUCUUCUUGUGAUUGAAUUCUGGAACUUACAUUGUCCGUUUGCAACAUUACAUACGGCCAUGCUUUGCAAGACGUUCUAUAUAUAGGCUCUUUUGUACGUGAUAAAAAAAUUUGGACACAUAUUUGUUACUCCCUCCGUCCCAUAUUUGUCAAAAACGCUCUUAUAUUAUGGGACGGAGGGAGUAGAACUAUGAGUUCACCAUAUACUAUGAAAAUUCAUCAACUUGGGAUUAUGAAUCAUGUUUGUUUUUUGGAGAACCAUGUACUGAUUUAGAUAAAACCUCAUUAGCGAGAAAUAUUUGACUCGUAGGGAGCUACUGUAGUUUUUCCUGCUUUUCCAAUUAUUCUGUUGUUACUUCGUUCAUAGCUAUGGAAUGGAUCCUUCUACCAUUGCCAGUUCAGCUAUACCAGGUACACUCUGAUGCUUGUUCAUGGAAUUUUGGUAACAAUAUGAACUGUGAUAUGUUCUGAAACAUAAACUGAGAGGCAAACUUAUAUUAUGUUUAACAGGUUUGGCUGUUGUUCCUCUAUACAACUUUAUCUUUUAGUAUCGACCAAUACCUCAUAUCCCAUUUGAAGGGAAUAUUGUGAUGCUCUAGGACUUUAUGUUAUUUUACCAUACAAUCCGAUAAAAAUGAUGCUCUUCUUCAAUGCCUGUCUAUCCACCUCCGACGUGUUGUUUGUUGGCUGUUCUUGUUAUGCUUUUUUCUGUUCGUUUCAAAGUUAUUAACUCAUUAGGCAUAUAAGUACCAAUAAUGCAAGUUUUUUUGGGUCAUUUGGAACUUAGCAAAAGUUCAUUUUAUUCUAAAGGUGAGUAUGGAAUCAUCCGACAUCCUGGUGGCUCUUGUAAGUCUCAAAUGGGAGAUUAAGGGACAAGUUGAUUGUUCACACAAGGUAGGUGUACUUUUAGGCCUCUGGUUUGUUCUAAACAUGUAAGUUCGGGCUUAGCCUAUACUCUUUUCACAGAGAGUUGCCGAGUUGUUUCUGUGCCAGGCUGUGAUGCAAGGUUUUGCCAUGUUGCUGAAAAGAUAUCAAUGUCGAAGACUAUAUACAACUUUGUAGUCGUCUGCUCAAAUUUUAGUCAAAAUAGAUAUUUGUAAGUUGAAAAUUUAUUUUUGGCAGGCUAAAAUAAUGGAGGUUGUGUGGGAAGAGAUUGUUGUUGUUUAAGGCUAACUAUUGUUGUUC